rnacentral:tRNA from 1 species
GGUAGUAUGGUGUAGUGGUAACAUAUCGGACUGUCCAUCUGAUGCCCAGGGUUCGAUCCCCUGUACUGCCU